UCCCUCAGUAACGGCGAGUGAAGCGGGAAGAGCUCAAGCUUAAAAUCUCCACGCAAGUGGCGAAUUGUAGUCUAUUGAGGCUGUUGUCAGCAUAGCGACCUGAGACAAGUCCCUUGGAAGAGGGCAGCAUGGAGGGUGAUACUCCCGUCUCUGCUCAGGUUGUCUGUGUGUACGAUACGCUUUCUUUGAGUCGAGUUGUUUGGGAAUACAGCUCAAAGUAGGUGGUAAAUUCCAUCUAAAGCUAAAUAUUGGUGCGAGACCGAUAGCGAACAAGUACCGUGAGGGAAAGAUGAAAAGAACUUUGAAAAGAGAGUUAAAGAGUACCUGAAACUGUUGAAAGGGAACCGUAUCGUUUCUAGUGUUUAUCCUAUGCAUAUUUCAUUGGCGGUUGCAAAAUUGCUGGUGCCCUGUGCAUGGGUGUGACGUCAGAGUCAGUUUAAAUUGCGGGAGAUGGGUAGUGAGGAGGUGCGUCACAUUUGUGAAAGUUACAGCUCGCUGCCUAGUAGCCGUGGUUAAGACUGAGGUGCCUACAACAUGCCCUGGGGUCUGGUGUUGUCUCGUUUUAUGUACUGCUUGGAUAGCUUGCUAUGUUGGCGGUGCCUGAGGCGAUUGAUAGUAUUAGUAACCUCUGCUGUUCGGGACUCUGGC
rnacentral:rRNA from 1 species